rnacentral:misc_RNA from 1 species
GAUAGCUCUUAGGAGAAGUAUUAGGGUUGGAACUUAAGGAAGUGUCUGGAGAGCUAAUUUCUUUUGUAGCACUAACAGAACUAGAACUUGGACUGUUUGAUGUCAAAUCUCGACUAUCAUCAAAGUAGAGGCCUCCAUCACUCCAACCGUCAACCUUUGAGCGUCCACCUUGUCCAGAAGAUAUCAAAGCUUUUAGGCCAGUAAUCCAAAACUCUGCCUCAACCUUGUCCUUACAGAUCAGAUCAAGGGAUCUUUUUCCGUAAUUGUAUAUGAGAGAGAAGGACAAGUAAUCCUUAUCAGGACGAAGAUAACGUCGAAAGACAGCAGUUCU